GAUUUAUUUGUCUAUGUUAUGAAAAAAAACAAUGUAAAAUGACGGCUUGGAAUACCACUUAAAAUUUAUAGUGACCCAUUUACUACUUCUACUUCAAAGAAUAUAAAAAAAUAUAAUAUUUGUCGCAUUUGUUGGAUAUUUUUUUGGUUGAUAUACGAAAACACAAAUUGGAUCGUAGUAUAAAAGUCAGAAAGGGUAAGAAAUGGAUAACUGAACCUUAGAGUUUACAGGAAAGUAAAUAAUGACACUACUACUUCGAGAAAAUUAUAUUAAACAAGAGGGCCGCGGGCAUACCUCGCAAUUUAUAGUCUGAGGUAUGCUUUACUAUUAAGGCAGACAAAUGUUUCUCUGCCUUAACCACAAGGAUCGAUACUUCUACCAGAAUCAUACAGAAUCGAACCCGAUUGAUCUAAUACUAUGAUUCCGCGUUGGUAUCAAUACUUUUUUUGUUCGUGUUUACCCAUGUAAUUUAGUUUUUAACGGUAUUAUUACUCAGGAAAUAAUAAACAUAAGGUUCCGUGCUCUGUGUAUAAGUAUAAUGACAGUUAGUACUAUUAUAAAUCUAUAAUUUAGUUUGGCUAAUACCGCUCCAUUAUAUUCUCUUGAAAAAUACUUUAAAGUCAUUUUGAUUAGGCAUAUGUACUUAAUAUUAAUGUAAAUUGUACCCAGGUGCAAACAAGCUGAACAGUUAUAAUACGGUUCCGAAUUCCACGAUUGCCUUUUAGAAACCCUUCGGGGUGAGUAGGGGAAGUGCGGAUUCGUUUUCUUAUUUCGGUUGAUAUUUUUAUUGUAUUCAUUGUAUAAAGUUUUAUUCAUUUCAUAUUCUUUAUGGUAAUAAUUAAUAUAAUAAUAAUUACUGGUUAGCCUACUUUUGUAUGUGAUAAAGGCGCUUCAUGAGAUAAACAUUAACUUAUAAAAUAUUCAUGUAUGUAUUGAAUAAAGUGCUUUUGUGCUUCGA